UACGAAGGGGGCUAGCGUUGCUCGGAAUCACUGGGCGUAAAGGGCGCGUAGGCGGUCGUGACAAGUCACUUGUGAAAUCUCCGGGCUUAACUCGGAACGGUCAAGUGAUACUGUCGGACUAGAGUACAGAAGGGGCAACUGGAAUUCUCGGUGUAGCGGUGAAAUGCGUAGAUAUCGAGAGGAACACCUGCGGCGAAGGCGGGUUGCUGGGCUGAUACUGACGCUGAGGCGCGAAAGCUAGGGGAGCGAACGGG
rnacentral:rRNA from 1 species